UACGUAGGGGGCGAGCGUUGUCCGGAUUUAUUGGGCGUAAAGGGCGCGUAGGCGGCGCGGAGCAUCCGGCGUGAAAUCUCCCCGCUCAACGGGGAGGGGUCGGCGGAGAUGGCCGUGCUAGAGGACGGGAGAGGCAGCGGGAAGUCCCGAAGUAGUGGUGAAAUGCGUAGAGAUCGGGAGGAACACCAGAGGCGAAGGCGCGCUGCUGGGCCGGACCUGACGCUGAGGCGCGACAGCCAGGGGAGCGAACGG
rnacentral:rRNA from 1 species